rnacentral:rRNA from 1 species
CGGCACGGGUGAGUAACACGUAUCCAACCUGCCGUCUACUCUUGGACAGCCUUCUGAAAGGAAGAUUAAUACAAGAUGGCAUCAUGAGUUCACAUGUUCACAUGAUUAAAGGUAUUCCGGUAGACGAUGGGGAUGCGUUCCAUUAGAUAGUAGGCGGGGUAACGACCCACCUAGUCUUCGAUGGAUAGGGGUUCUGAGAGGAAGGUCCCCCACAUUGGAACUGAGACACGGUCCAA